AACGAGCGCUGGCGGCAGGCUUAACACAUGCAAGUCGAACGCAUCCUUCGGGGUGAGUGGCAGACGGGUGAGUAACGCGUGGGAACGUGCCCUUCAGUUCGGGAUAACCCAGGGAAACUUGGGCUAAUACCGGAUACGUGCGAGAGCAGAAAGAUUUAUCGCUGGAGGAUCGGCCCGCGUCUGAUUAGCUAGUUGGUGGGGUAAUGGCCCACCAAGGCGACGAUCAGUAGCUGGUCUGAGAGGAUGAUCAGCCACAUUGGGACUGAGACACGGCCCAAACUCCUACGGGAGGCAGCAGUGGGGAAUAUUGGACAAUGGGCGCAAGCCUGAUCCAGCCAUGCCGCGUGAGUGAUGAAGGCCUUAGGGUUGUAAAGCUCUUUCGUCCGGGACGAUAAUGACGGUACCGGAAGAAGAAGCCCCGGCUAACUUCGUGCCAGCAGCCGCGGUAACAC
rnacentral:rRNA from 1 species